GGGAGCCGGAGGGAAACCGAGUCUUAACCGGGCGUUAAGUUGCAGGGUAUAGACCCGAAACCCGGUGAUCUAGCCAUGGGCAGGUUGAAGGUUGGGUAACACUAACUGGAGGACCGAACCGACUAAUGUUGAAAAAUUAGCGGAUGACCUGUGGCUGGGGGUGAAAGGCCAAUCAAACCGGGAGAUAGCUGGUUCUCCCCGAAAGCUAUUUAGGUAGCGCCUCGUGAAUUCAUCUCCGGGGGUAGAGCACUGUUUCGGCUAGGGGGCCAUCCCGGCUUACCAACCCGAUGCAAACUGCGAAUACCGGAGAAUGUUAUCACGGGAGACACACGGCGGGUGCUAACGUCCGUCGUGAAGAGGGAAACAACCCAGACCGCCAGCUAAGGUCCCAAAGUCAUGGUUAAGUGGGAAACGAUGUGGGAAGGCCCAGACAGCCAGGAUGUUGGCUUAGAAGCAGCCAUCAUUUAAAGAAAGCGUAAUAGCUCACUGGUCGAGUCGGCCUGCGCGGAAGAUGUAACGGGGCUAAACCAUGCACCGAAGCUGCGGCAGCGACGCUGAUGCGUUGUUGGGUA
rnacentral:rRNA from 1 species